CGGGGGAGGCCGGAUCCUGGGCUGUGUCCAGGCGCCCUGUGUUCCAGGGCCUGUGCUGUUGGAUUCACGCUCCCGCCCCACAGCCCCCU
rfam:Canis lupus familiaris chromosome 24, whole genome shotgun sequence.